rnacentral:Y_RNA from 1 species
UGCUGGUCCAAAGGUAAUGAGUUAUCUCACUUGAUUGUUUACAGUCAGUUACAGAUUGAACUCCUUGUUCUACUACGUUCCCCCCUCCUGCACUUGACUAGUCUUAA